rnacentral:rRNA from 1 species
GACGAACGCUGGCGGCGUGCUUAACACAUGCAAGUCGAACGGAAAGGCCCUGCUUGCAGGGUGCUCGAGUGGCGAACGGGUGAGUAACACGUGGGUGAUCUGCCCCUUACUUUGGGAUAAGCCUGGGAAACUGGGUCUAAUACUGGAUAGGACCAUGCUGUAGGUGGUGUGGUGGAAAGAUUAGUUUCGGUAAGGGAUGAGCUCGCGGCCUAUCAGCUUGUUGGUGGGGUAAUGGCCUACCAAGGCGUCGACGGGUAGCCGGCCUGAGAGGGUGGACGGCCACAUUGGGACUGAGAGACGGCCCAGACACCUACGGGAGGCAGCAGUGGGGAAUAUUGCACAAUGGGCGCAAGCCUGAUGCAGCGACGCCGCGUGGGGGAUGACGGCCUUCGGGUUGUAAACUCCUUUCAGCCAUGACGAAGCCCUUGUGGUGACGGUAGUGGUAGAAGAAGCACCGGCUAACUACGUG